rnacentral:ncRNA from 2 species
CCCGCCGAGGGGCGCUGCGACCGUCGUCGUGAAUGCGGAUACGUCCGCAAUGCCCCGCACAUCCCGUGCGGACUCUUCACGACAACGGCCAGGCUCGGCGCGGCACGUUCCACAACGGCGCCCGGUUGCU